rnacentral:rRNA from 1 species
UCGGGAAUUUUGGGCAAUGGGGGAAACCCUGACCCAGCAACGCCGCGUGAAGGAUGAAGUAUUUCGGUAUGUAAACUUCGAAAGAAUAGGAAGAAUUAAUGACGGUACUAUUUAUAAGGUCCGGCUAACUACGUGCCAGCAGCCGCGGUAAUACGUAGGGACCAAGCGUUGUUCGGAUUUACUGGGCGUAAAGGGCGCGUAGGCGGGCAUGGUAAGUCACUUGUGAAAUCGUCCGAGCGUUAACUCGGAACGGCCAAGUGAUACUGCUGAGCUAGAGUGCAGAAGGGGCAAUCGGAAUUCGUUGGUGUAGCGGUGAAAGUGCGUAGAUAUCGAAGAGGAACACCUGAGGUGAAGACGGGUUGCUGGGCUGACACUGACGCUGAGGCGCGAAAGCUAGGGGGA